UUUUUCACUUUUGAUCAUACAUGUACACUGAUUUUGGUUGUUUUUGUUGUAUAAAAUAUUGUACAUGUAUUGUCAAUUUACCAGCUAUCUAGUCAUUAAAAUCAGAACAUGUUUUCUAUGUUGAAGUUAAAACAUGCAAGUUUUUCUACAAUAUUUAGAUUUUUAAAAAUUUGGUGCUUUAUUGAUAUACAUCUAUGCAUUUCAAGAUAUCAAUGGUAUUGUGCAAUAUUGUUGGUUUUUACAAACCAUAUUCCGAAGAAAUAAGUGCUAUAAAGUUCAAUGUAACAUUGUACAGUAAGUUAUUAUUUCAUUGAAUGUCUUGAUUUUCAUUAAUUGUUAAAAAAAAAUCCCAGUAUACUUAACAAAAAGGGUACGGCAAGGUGUUUCUACUUAAUAAAUGAAUUUUUCUAAAAUUAUUUGCUUGUUUAAUAGCAAAUACAUGUAUUUAUUUUAGAUAUACAAGUACUUAUAUUGUAGGAUGGUUUAAAAAUCAUGUAAAUGUAUGUUUUAAGAGCCUCCAUUGAACAAAGCUUUAAAGUUGACACCUCUAUGAAAAUAUUUUGAUUUUACAUGAUAGUUAGAAAUAAGUGAGGGGAGAAUAUGAUUUAUAUCACAACUAUCAACUUAUUGUUUUAUUCAACAUGGCAGUUGAACAGCAUUGACACUAAAUGGUUGAAAUCAAAUUAUGUAGGAAUUAAUCAUAUGUAUAAUUAUACUCUAUUAAUAUUACAGCAAAACUCGUCUAUAACGAAUUUCAAGGGACCAUAGAAAAAACUUCGUUAUAGCCGUAAUUCGCUAUACGUUUAUAACGAAUUCGUAAAAAAUAUUAUAGCGAAUUCGUUAUAUGAUAAUCAAGGGUUUUUCCGGCUAACAGUUUUCUAAACUAUCGUAAAAUUAGUAUUACCUUCAUUUACAAAAAAUGUCAAUAUAACCAUUUCAUUUCAAUUUUUAAAAAAAAUUCCGUAUACUAUUUGAAUUUGAGUAUUUUAUAUAUGCAUCUAUAAAUUGCAUGUUUCUUCAAUGAAAUUUGAAAUGGAAAAAAUUCGUUAUAAAAAUGAUAAAAUACGUUCAAAUUUUGCCAGCGGGGGUCUUAAAAUUACUUCGUUAUAGCUGUAAAAUCGUUAUAGCCGUGUUCGUUAUAUACAUCAAUUUUCUAUAGGUUUAUAUAAGAAAUUUGCCGGGACAUGAAUAAUAAUUCGUUAUAGCCGUAAAUUCGCUAUAUCCGUGUUCGUUAUAUUCGAGUUUUGCUGUAUAAAGUUUUAUAUGUUGACAAAUUUUAGAAUCUAUGCAACACAUGCAAUGUACAAAUGACUUUGUAUAGUUUAUUUGUUGUUUAUGAAUUUAUUUAUCAUGUUUAUACACCUUUAUACUCAUGUUAGUGGAAUGCCUCAUGAUUCAUUUUGAUAUCUUAAAAUAAAAGAUAAUUAUGU
rnacentral:sRNA from 1 species